rnacentral:rRNA from 1 species
AACGUAGGAGACAAACGUUAUCCGGAGUUACUGGGCGUAAAGGGCGUGUAGGCGGUAUGCUAAGUCUGGCGUGAAAGCUCUCGGCUAAACCGGGAGAGGUCGUUGGAUACUGGCAAACUAGAGGAUGGUAGAGGCGUGUGGAAUUCCGGGUGUAGUGGUGAAAUGCGUAGAGAUCCGGAGGAACACCAGUGGCGAAGGCGACACGCUGGGCCAUACCUGACGCUAAAGCGCGACAGCAUGGGGAGCAAACGGG